GGGGCUAUAGCUCAGCUGGGAGAGCGCCUGCUUUGCACGCAGGAGGUCUGCGGUUCGAUCCGCAUAGCUCCA
rnacentral:tRNA from 1 species